UGAGCACGUGGUCAUGACCAAGGAGGAGGUGACGGAACUGCUGGCGCGAUACAAGCUCCGUGAGAGCCAGCUGCCCAGGAUCCAGGCUGGGGACCCGGUGGCACGGUACUUCGGGAUCAAGCGAGGGCAGGUGAGAAGCCAUAGCCGUUGUUCCCCUCGCUCUCGCUCUCUCUCUCUGAAGCCAGCGUCACUAUGGCCAGAGGACAGUUGUCCCUCGCCACUGAUGCCCAAGGCCCUGCCACUCCCCGCUCUACCUGCUCCCACAGGUUGUGAAGAUUAUCCGCCCCAGUGAGACAGCCGGCCGGUACAUCACCUACCGCCUGGUGCAGUAGCUGCAGGUGAGCCCCAGCAGAAUGAGGGUUUGGUGCUGGAUGACCCCGCUGCCUACCCUCGAUGCGGUAGAGGGUCUGAGCUGCACCCACAAAAAUAAAAUAACAGAAAGGCAGGCUUGAAUCCUAGUGCCCAGGGUGGGUAGAGCCAGGCAGAUUUCUGAGGUCCAGGCCAGCCAGGGCUACAGAGUAAAGAAGAAAAAGAAAAA
rnacentral:lncRNA from 1 species